GCCCGCCAUGGCCGCCGCCCGCACCUCCACGCCGAGCCAUCGACCGAGCUCGCCCCGCCCUCCACCAACCCCCGAAUCCGCUUGCUCUCGUCCCAACGAAACUCCCGGGCCCGGCCAUCACCUCCACGCCUCGCCGGAACGCCGCCGCAGCGGCACAGCACCGCCGCCGGCCGUGGAGCCGCCGCCACAGACCACCUCCUCGCGCUCCAAGGCCACCUACAGGUACGAUAGAUGAACCACGUGAAGGAUGUGAUAUUGGAACCGAACACGAAGACGAUGUUUGGUGGACAUAUCCAGAAGAGGCAAAGAACUAGGAGUACAUGCUUGGACCGGAAUACUCGCCAAGCGAGUGUCAUCUAACAAACACUGACCUAAUGUUAAUCCUAGGCAAGCCCCGGUGCAUAACCUACUAUUUUAAAUUAUGAAUUAUUAUAUGUGUAUUACUUGUGCAUUAUGUUUUUAGGAGUUGUCUGGAACCUAAGUUGCAUGAUCCCUAGGUUUCCUUGGUCUUAUACUCGUAUGUAUAGGUCGAUAGCACUGCUAUACUUAAUAGAUCUCGGUAGAAGUCGAGUGAUUUCCUGUCACUCGCAAGCUAUAGGGCAAAAGUCGAGUAAUUUCUGGUUACUCGCGAGAUUUUUAGUUAUCUUUAUAUUCCAGUAUAUGAGAUAUGGAAUGCAAUAUGGAAUGAAUGGAAAUUUGAGACC